GGGGUGCAGCUCAGUGGUAGAGCGCUUGUCUAGCAUGCAUGAGGCACUGGGUUCAAUCCUUAGCACCACA
rnacentral:tRNA from 1 species